GAGUUUGAUCCUGGCUCAGAGCGAACGCUGGCGGCAGGCUUAACACAUGCAAGUCGAGCGGGCGUAGCAAUACGUCAGCGGCAGACGGGUGAGUAACGCGUGGGAACGUACCUUUUGGUUCGGAACAACACAGGGAAACUUGUGCUAAUACCGGAUAAGCCCUUACGGGGAAAGAUUUAUCGCCGAAAGAUCGGCCCGCGUCUGAUUAGCUAGUUGGUGAGGUAACGGCUCACCAAGGCGACGAUCAGUAGCUGGUCUGAGAGGAUGAUCAGCCACAUUGGGACUGAGACACGGCCCAAACUCCUACGGGAGGCAGCAGUGGGGAAUAUUGGACAAUGGGCGCAAGCCUGAUCCAGCCAUGCCGCGUGAGUGAUGAAGGCCCUAGGGUUGUAAAGCUCUUUUGUGCGGGAAGAUAAUGACGGUACCGCAAGAAUAAGCCCCGGCUAACUUCGUGCCAGCAGCCGCGGUAAC
rnacentral:rRNA from 1 species